rnacentral:rRNA from 1 species
AACGAACGCUGGCGGCAGGCUUAACACAUGCAAGUCGAACGCUCGUCUUCGGACGGGAGUGGCAGACGGGUGAGUAACGCGUGGGAACGUACCCUUCGGUUCGGAAUAACCCGGGGAAACUCGGAUUAAUACCGGAUACGUCCGCAAGGAGAAAGAUUUAUCGCCGAAGGAUCGGCCCGCGUCGGAUUAGCUAGUUGGUGGGGUAAUGGCCCACCAAGGCGACGAUCCGUAGCUGGUCUGAGAGGAUGANCAGCCACACUGGGACUGAGACACGGCCCAGACUCCUACGGGAGGCAGCAGUGGGGAAUAUUGGACAAUGGGCGAAAGCCUGAUCCAGCCAUGCCGCGUGAGUGAAGAAGGCCUUAGGGUUGUAAAGCUCUUUCAGCGGGAAGAUAAUGACGGUACCCGCAGAAGAAGCCCCGGCUAACUUCGUGCCAG